UGAGCUGGCUGGGCGGUCGCGGGUCAUUCAACGCCGGGUGGGGGACACGGCGGAAGAUGGCUCGAGGAAAGUCCGGACUUCACAGAGCAGGGUGAUUGCUAACGGCAAUCCGAGGUGACUCGCGGGAAAGUGCCACAGAAAUCAGACCGCCACCGCUGAGCCUUCGGGUGACGGGGUGGUAAGGGUGAAACGGUGCGGUAAGAGCGCACCAGCGUUCCGGGUGACUGGGGCGGCUAGGUAAACCCCACCCGAAGCAAGGCCAAGUAUGUCGCGCCGGGGGCGUGGCAGCGCAGGCGCUGGAGGGCUGCUCGCCCGAGUCUGCGGGUAGGCCGCUCGAGGUACCCGGUGACGGUGUGCCCAGAUGGAUGGCCGCCGCCUCGCUGUCGGACCGGCUGCGAGGAACAGAAUCCGGCUUACAGGCCAGCUCAUCCG
rnacentral:RNase_P_RNA from 1 species